UACAGAGGGUGCAAGCGUUGUUCGGAAUUAUUGGGCGUAAAGGGCGCGUAGGCGGUGCCACAAGUCACCUGUGAAAUCUCCGGGCUUAACUCGGAGCCUGCAGGCGAAACUGUGGUGCUGGAGUGUGGGAGAGGUGCGUGGAAUUCCCGGUGUAGCGGUGAAAUGCGUAGAUAUCGGGAAGAACACCAGUGGCGAAAGCGCUCUACUGGGCCAUAACUGACACUGAGGGACGAAAGCUAGGGGAGCGAAAGGG
rnacentral:rRNA from 1 species